UACGUAGGGGGCGAGCGUUGUCCGGAAUUAUUGGGCGUAAAGAGCUCGUAGGCGGUUUGUCGCGUCUGCCGUGAAAGUCCGGGGCUCAACUCCGGAUCUGCGGUGGGUACGGGCAGACUAGAGUGAUGUAGGGGAGACUGGAAUUCCUGGUGUAGCGGUGAAAUGCGCAGAUAUCAGGAGGAACACCGAUGGCGAAGGCAGGUCUCUGGGCAUUAACUGACGCUGAGGAGCGAAAGCAUGGGGAGCGAAACAGG
rnacentral:rRNA from 1 species